CAUGUUUCUUUGUCCUGAUUUAUGAUGAAUAAAUCUGUAGUUAUAGUAUGCUUUCACAAGCCUCACGCCUAUUCUCUGUGUGCAGUUCGAUCUACUGAUAGUGUGCCCUGGCUUUGAAGCCCGGGUCGCUGAUUUACAUCGGAGCAGAGGUGAUGGUCUUUGCAGCUGGACGGCUGGAAGGAGACAGCCCAGCUGGGGCUAGCCAGCUGGCCUUACGGCCCUCGGCAUGUUGACACCUUAUUGCUGCCACUGCAACUCCAGAUGUACAUACCAGUUUCUUUUACUAGUUAAGGAAUGUGCCCCUUCUUUUCCUUUUAGCUCACUUAUGGCUCCUUUGCUCCAGAGGCUCCUGGUCAAAGCCAAUCCACUUCCUUCUACUGGAUGGUGCCCAAUGAAGCCCACCAGUGCACUGGGAUUAUUGAGUUACUUCUCCACUUUGGUUGGACCUGGGUUGGGUUGCUUGCUGGAGAUAAUGAGAGUGGAGAAAGAUUUGUGCAGACCCUGCAACAUCUGUUUUCCCAGAAAGGUAUUUGCUUGGCCUUCUCAGAGAGAACUCAGAAAACUAGACAUUUUGACGAUUAUUUUAACAUGCACCACCACUGGAUCCGACUCUAUCAAGUGAUUAUGGAAAGUAAAGCCAAGGUUGUCAUUGUGUAUGGAGAAACAAAGUCCAUGCUUGACUUUCGAACCAUGGUAGCACUAGGUGAAAUGGAAGAUGUGAAAAGGACACCGGAAGGUAAAGUGUGGAUUCUGACUGCACAGCUGGAUUUAACAGCAUUGAACUUCCAACUAAUGUGGGACAUGGAAGUCUUCCACGGUUCCCUCUCCUUUGCUGUUCAUUCAAAUGAGGUACAAGGAUUCAAAAGCUUUCUUCUGCUCCAGAAUCCUUUAGAGGCAAAUGGAAAUGGCUUUCUCAGGGAGUUCUGGGAAGAGGUAUUUUUCUGUUUAUUUCCAGGUUUUAAUACAGAGGAGAAGGCCAGUGAAGCUUGCACUGGAGAGGAGAAGCUGGAAGAUCUCCCUUCGUCUGGCUUUGAGAUGAGCAUGACUGGCCACAGCUACAGUCUCUAUAAUGCUGUCUAUGCCAUAGCACAUGCUCUACAUGCCAUGUUCUUGUCCAGGACCAAAUACAGGGGAGUGAUAGAAGGAGGGGUGCAGGAGCUUCAGAAGCUGCAGUCUUGGCAGGUAAUGCCUUUGAUGAACUACAAUUUGUUUGACAUGAGCAGGAAAAUUACACCCAGCAGUGUGUAAAACAUGCUCUGGAAAUCACUGUUGAUUAUGAUCCAGCACUUUUGUCGGUCAACUCCUUUCUGAUUCCCUUCAUUAUUCAGUGCAACAAAUGCUCAUUUUAGCUCUGGUGCAUUUUCUUCAUAGAUUCCAAAUCAGCUUCCAAACUAACCAUUUAUUCUGCAAUUGAUAUCCUUUGUUCACUCAUUGUUUCCCUACACAAUCUUUGUGUUCAUGUCUGCUGCCUUCCUGUUUGUGUGUGGCGUCUCAUUUUUUUUGUAGUGCAAUUUAUUAAGACAACCACCACAACAACAACAACAUAAAAUGUGCCGCCCAUCUGACUGGGAGGCUUGCAGCAAAUUAUAAAACCAAAGUAGUGCUAGAGUAUUUGUUCAGGAAUGUAAGCUUUUAUUUGGACUUUGGGAGCUAUUGUGUCUUUAACUAAAAGCGUCAACCUUCUGACUCUUGGCCUUGUAAUAGCUUCCUAUUCUACGGGACCAUUUAUUUAAUCUUAUUUAUUAAAGAUUUUCUUGGUUUACAAAAGUAUGUGCAAUGUCUCUCUCUGUCUUUUCAAGCAACAUUUUUUUUACAGUUUCAUUUGUUUUUUAUCAGUUUCAUUUGCUGAGACAUUAGGAAGAAAAGGGGGAAAGAGGUGAAGGGGGGAAAGGUGAGUGGGGGUGGGGUCGGGUGGCGAUGUUUUUAUUUUACUUAAUAUAUGUGGGGUUUUGUGUCAGCAUCGUUUGUGCAGGCUCUCUGCUAUUCACUUGUGUUUCUUUGGUGGUGAGAGAGGUUGGGGUUGGCCUAGGGUGCAGUUGUUUGUUUGUGGUUGGCUGUGGUGAACUUUGUUUUCAUGUGUGAGUGGGGUGGGUGGGUGUUUUGGAUCAGGUUAGCCAUAUUGAUUUGUAUGCCGUUGGUGGAUUUUUGUCAUUGUCUUGUUGGGCUGUGUAUGUGAUAAACGCGAAGCCAUACCGGGGUGAAGGCGUCUUCUUCUAUUUGUCCCCAUGUCAGUUUCAGUUUAUUGGUUAACUUUUCUAGUAAGGCUGUUUCCCAUACUAUUUGGUACCAUUGGUCCAUGCUUACUCCUGACAGGUCUCUCCAAUGUCUGGUUAUGAUGUUUCUGGCUGUUGAAAGUAGGUGGGUUAUGAGUUCUUUGUGUCAGUCAGUCAGUUUUAUUGCACAUAGCCAAAGGCUGCCGCAAUGUACACAGAAUCAUUCAACAAUUAAAAGAAAAUACACUGGAUUAAUACAAAAAACUUAAAACAUUUAUAUUAUCAAGAUAUUACCUACUCUAAACAGAGCUAUAAAAGUACCUUAAUAUACAGGGUAAGACAUUAAAUAAUAAAAUUUAUAGGCUAAAAUCAUCACAUGACCACUAAUAUAUUAAAAAAAUAAUGUUAAUUAAUACAAUGUGCAAUUAUAUUUGGAGUUUGGUAAUAAAGAUAGAAUAUAGCUUGAUGUAGAUAGGGUCAAAUAAAUUCAUCUCCUUUACAGUUGGUGGUUAUCUUGGCUAUAUAAUUUGAGUUCUUUGUGGUGUAAAUGGGCAUUAUUGUCUUGGAAGAUGUUUAGUAAGGCCAAUUCUGGGGUGAUUUCCAAUACUUGCUUAGUUAUUUUACAUAUUUCUCAUAUGGCUGUUUAUUUAAUCUUAUUUAAAAGAUGUAUUAAGCAGAUGUUGGAUGGCCACCUGCCAUGGAUGCUUUGGUUGAGAUUCCUGCAUUGCAGGGGGUUGGACUAGAUGACCCUCGGGUCCUUUCCAACUCUAUGAUUCUAAUAGUAAUUUGACAGAAUUCUUUCUGCUUUUCUUUCAGUGCAGCUUCACCCCUUCCUAAAGAGGGUCUCAUUUAACAACAGUGCUGGAGAAACAGUUUCUUUUGGUGAGAACAGGGAAGUUGAAGCUGGAUUUGAUAUUACCAGCAUGAUUACUUUUCCAAAUAACUCCUUCGUGAGAGUCAAGGUUGGAAGGGUGGAUCUGGAGGCUGCCCCAGGUCAGGAAUUCUCCAUUGAUGGUGACAAAAUAGUGUGGCACAGAAACUUUCCCCAGGUACAACAUAAUUUCCACACCCACAAUAUACCGGAAAGCACCAUAUUAUAGUAUACUCUAGAUCAUCAGCCCAGUGUGUCCCAAACCAAGAUUGGUACAUCUUUGAAACAUGGGUAGGCAAACUAAGGCCCGGGGGUCGGAUCCAGCCCAAUUGCCUUCUAAAUCCGGCCCUCGGACCGUCCGGGAAUCAGCGUGUUUUUACAUGACUAGAAUGUGUCCUUUUAUUUAAAAUGCAUCUCUGGGUUAUUUGUGGGGCCUGCCUGGUGUUUCUUCACAAGUAGAAUGUGUGCUUUUACAGUGGUACCUCAGGUUACAUUGCUUCAGGUUACAGACUCCGCUAAUCCAGAAACAGUACCUCGGGUUAAGAACUUUGCUUCAGGAUGAGAACAAAAAUUGUGCAGUGGCAGCACAGCGGCAGUGGGAGGCCCCAUUAGCUAAAGUGGUACCUCAGGUUAAGAACAGUUUCAGGUUAAGAACGGACCUCCAGAACGAAUUAAGUUCUUAACUCGAGGUACCACUGUAUUUAAAAUGCAUCUCUGGGUUAUUUGUGGGGCAAAUAUAAAUAUAGUCUGGCCCCCCACAAGGUCUGAGGGACAGUGGACUGGCCCCCUGCUGAAAAAGUUUGCUGACCCCUGGUGUAGAACUUGGAACCUAUAGUUCACAUUUUUGUUUUAUUAGGACUCGGGGGCCUCUCACCCAGAAAGAGCAGAGCUGGAAUAGGAACACUCAGCGUGUAUGAGGACAUUGGGGGCAAGGCUAGUGAAUACAAACCCUUGAACCCUGCUGCUCAAUUUCAGCCCUCAUGCUUAGAGCUCACUCACUUUUCCCGUGUCUAAAAAGCACGGGCCCAAGAUGUUUUCUGCUUGUGCCAUGCUUCCUAGGAAUGGGUCUGAGAGGUUUUCCAUUUGCUCCGCUGUUUUCCCCAGCAAAACACACUGAAUUGGAGCAAGCAUCAAUCGGUGGAAAACUCAAUUUAUGUUUGCUCCAAUUCAGCAAUAGAGCAGGUUUUGGUGCUGAUCUUUAAAGCCCUAAACGGCCUCAGCCCAGUAUACCCGAAGGUGCGUCUCCACCACCAUCAUUCAGCCCGGGCACAGAGGUCCAGCUCCGAGGGCCUUCUGGUGGUUCCCUCCCUGCGAGAAGUGAGGUUACAGGGAACCAGGCAGAGGGCCUUCUCGGUGGUGGCACCUGCCCUGUGGAACGCCCUCCCAUCAGAUGUCAAGGAAAUAAACAACUGUCUGACUUUUAGAAGACAUCUGAAGGCAGCCCUGUUUGGGAAGUUUUUAAUGUUUGAUCUUUUAUCAUGUUUUUAAUAUUCUGUUGGGAGCCACCCAGAGUGGCUGGGGAAGCCCAGCCAGAUGGGUGGGGUAUCAAUCAAUCAAUCAAUCAAUCAAUCAAUCAAUCCAGGGGAAAGCAGCAGGAGAAGAGGGAGUGUGGACAAGCCCUGACUCUCUGAAAGGUCUCAGAAGUGUUGGGUGGUUUUGGAGGGUAGGAUAGGAUAUUAUUUAUUAAUUAUCCUUUCUCUUACUCACCUGUGUGAGUUUAAUUUCCAGUUAGCAGAGUUUGAAAUUUACUAUACCUUUGCAGCAUAAAAUGUGAUAACUUCUGGGACAAAGGUUGCUUAACCUUGCUAGCAAUUAUCCAGGAUGCUCCAGCAGACUGGUUCUUCCCUUUGUUAUCCCUUGGAACAAAAUAAGCACAGAAGUCUGAAAUGGAAGAAUAAAAUUAUUGUUUGCCUACAUAAAGCUUUAGACUUGAUGGAGCAGUAAGCAGCAAUGAAAAACAAGACAGCCAGAAUCUGGAGAACACAGAACUAGCAACCUUUCUCAUCGGCUACGUGGCAUAGAAAGAGACUGAGCUCCGAGCAGGAAGUAGUAAGGAUUAUUUUCCUAUCAUAACUUUUCCCACGAGGGAAAACCAGGAAUAUGACCUUACUGAGUGCCCUCUCCAGGCAUUUACAGGAAGACUCCAUGUGUCUUAACACUUUGAUUAUCUAGCAAUGCAUGGUAUUUUAUUUGGGCUGUGUCACUGCUUUGCACAAAAAGAUGGACAUUGUAAGCAUGCUAAAAAAAAAAAAAAAGGUGACUAGGAAUGAGUCAUUUGAUCCUGAGAUUUGAAUGAGUACAGUGGUACCUCAGGUUACAGACGCUUCAGGUUACAGACUCCGCUAACCCAGAAAUAGUACCUCAGGUUAACAACUUUGCUUCAGGAUGAGAACAGAAAGCGGGAGGCCCCAUUAGCUAAAGUGGUACCUCAGGUUAAGAACAGUUUCAGGUUAAGAACAGACCUCCAGAACGAAUUAAGUUCUUAACUUGAGGUACCACUGUAGUUUCAUGUCUUCCGAAUUCUGCCUGAAAAGAAACUGAAGUGAAUGGCUGUGCGAAAUUGUUUCUGUGUUUCCUCCAAUGGGCAGGUUCCACCUUUAUCUGUAUGUAACCCCAGUUGUCCUCCAGGAUCCCACAAGAAAAAGAAGGAAGGGGGGAAAUUCUGCUGCUAUGACUGUGCUCCAUGUCCCCAAGACAAGAUAUCACCCCAGAAGGGUAAGUGACACAAGAUAUAUACUUUUCAAACAUUUGUUAUAUUAGACGGAGUGGAAGAAGUCAAAAGUACUUGUUAUUUAUCAUUAUGUAUAUAUUUAUUAUUUAAAUAAAGGCUAUAAUUUUUUGCGGGACGCGGGUGGCGCUGUGGGUAAAACCUCAGCGCCUAGGACUUGCCGAUCGCAUGGUCGGCGGUUCGAAUCCCCGCGGCAGGGUGCGCUCCCGUCGUUCGGUCCCAGCGCCUGCCAACCUAGCAGUUCGAAAGCAUCCCCGGGUGCAAGUAGAUAAAUAGGGACCGCUUACCAGCGGGAAGGUAAACGGCGUUCCGUGUGCUGCGGUGGCUUGCCAGAUGCAGCUUGUCACGCUGGCCACGUGACCCGGAAGUGUCUGCGGACAGCGCUGGCUCCUGGCCUCUAGAGUGAGAUGAGCGCACAACCCUAGAGUCUGGCAAGACUGGCCCGAACGGGCAGGGGUACCUUUACUUUUACCUUUAUAAUUUUUUGCAGUCUUAAAUUCAAUUUUCCGCAUUUCUAUAACAACUUGUGAAUAUAUUUUAAAAAAUAUUCUCAUGAAUAUUUGUCAGCAUUUGUCAGUAUAACCUCCCCCCCCCCCGCUAAACCAAUUUUUGUAUGCAGUUUUAAGAACAUGAGUCUGUUGAGGGAGGCCAAUGGCCCAUUUAGUCCAGCAUCUAGGCUUUGAGUCCUGGAAGACUUCUAUGCUUAUGAUAAAAUUUAUUCCCUUGCUAAUUAUGCUGUUUUAAAUGUGCAUUUUAUGUUUGACUUCUUUUAGUAAUGUUUCCUUUAAGACAGUAUUUUUGUUAACUUUGCUGUGUUAAAUGUGCAUUCUGUAGUUGACCUCCUUUGUAAUAUUUUAUUUAGAAAUCUUAAGAUGAUAUUUUCGUUUCCUGUUAAUUAUGUUGCUUUGAAUGUAUACUUUAUACUGAACUUUCUUCAGUAAUGUUUUAUUCUGGAUUGUUUUACCUAAGAGAGCGAGCGAGAGACAGAGAGAUAAAACUUUAUUCGCAUUAGCCAAUGGCCAUAGAAACAAUAAAACAUUACAGUAUACGCAGAAAAGGAAAUUUGAUAUUAAAGCACAAUUUAAAGUCCUGAAUCAGCAGUCAGUUAGUGGCCCUUAUUCUGAUUGCCCCUGCUAUGAACCUAGCAACCUUUGCUGUUAUCUGCUCAUUUUGAUCUGAUAGAAGAAAGGACAUUGUGGCAGUGGUUGAGCGCCCUGGGAUGGUUAGUACGAGUGGGAUAAUUAUCUCGUUCCUGAGGUCUUUGUAGAGAGUACAAGACAGGAGGACGUGUGCCGCUGUUUCGGUGCUACUAUCUCCACAGGGGCAAAGGCGUUUCUCAGGCAGGAUCUUUUGGAAUUGACCCUCAAGUAAUGCAGAUGACAAAACAUCCAGUCUUGCAAGUGUAAAAGCAUGUCUGUAUUUUGGGAUAAUAAGUUUGUGCAGAUAUGGGGCCAGAGAAUCAAAAUGGGGAGGUGGAAAAUGAGCAUACCAAAGGCAGAAUUUCCUUAUAGUGGCCAGGUUGUUCUGAUGCUCGAUAUCUUUUAGACGUUGACCAGUUAGACUGUUUGCUUUGUUGGGGCCCAUAGUUAGUAGGUGUUGUGGCGAUGUUUUAAAAGAGGUUGCAAGCCACUUAGAUUCCCCCCCCCUUUAAAAUAAAAAGUGGUAUAGAAAUUUGAUGAUGGUGAUGAUGAUAGCAUGCUGUUCACAAAAUGGCCAACCAGACGCCUGUGGCAACCCCGCAAGUUGGCCAUGAGCACAACAUCACUCUGCCCACCUGUGACUUCCAGUAAAUGGUAUUUAGAGGCAUGCCUCUGACAGUGGAAUUAGUGGCUGGUAGCCUUGUCCAUGAGUUUGUCUAAUAUACUUUUAAAACCAUCCAAGUUGGUGGCCAUCAUUGCUUCCUGUAGGAACAAGUUCCACUAAGCACUGCAUUAGUAAGUACUUUAUUUUAUCCUUGAAUCUUCCAACAUUUGCUUCUUCCAACAAUAGCUUUUGGAUGUCCACAAAUUUCUCCAUGCCAUGCAUGGUUUUCCAAACUUUUACCAUGUAACCUUUUUCUAGCCUUUUCUCUAAAAAGUCUCAAACGCUGCAAACAUUUCACUAACAUACACAUUUUUGCAAGCAGCAUUCCCUUAUAUAAUGCAUUUUGUAUAUCAUUUUAACUAACAUUUGCCUGUAUAUUGUGUGUAUUUCCAAUAAUAUAUGCACCUUUGUAUACAUUGUUUUGUUGAAGAACUUCAUCACAAAAAGUGUGAAUUUUGAAGGGUAACUGGUUUGUUUCAAGUGUUCAUAUAACAAGCACAAAUUAGGUCAAACAAAACCAAAUUCUCACCACCACCCCUACGGAAACACAGCCCCCAGAUGCAUACCGAUAAAGGUACAUGGUCCUUGAAGUAAAAAAAAAUAAAAAUGCAUCAAUAGUUUCACUUAGUCUAAGACAAUGUCCUUUGUUCCUGAUCUGGAUAAUCAAUACUAGGAAGAUUGAAGAUGUAUUUGUUGCUGCCACCCCUGUCCAUGUGAUGUAAGCCUACAAGGUAUGGGUCUUGCCUACCUACACCACACAACGUGAUUUAUGGGAAGUUAGCAAGCCAGCAUAAUGAUUUUCUAAUACCCCAACACACAUUGCUGAGGUGGGGUUCAUAUGCAUCACAUUGUAUCUGGUGUACCUGGGAUAGGUAAAGGGACCCCUGACCAUUAGGUCCAGUUGUGACCGACUCUGGGGUUGUGGCGCUCAUCUCACUUUACUGGCCGAGGGAGCCAGCUUCCGGGUCAUGUGGCCAGCAUGACUAAGCCGCUUCUGGUGAACCAGAGCAGCGCAUGGAAACGCCAUUUACCUUCCCGCCGGAGCGGUACUUAUUUAUCUACUUGCACUUUGACGUGCUUUCGAACUGCUAGGUUGGCAGGAGCAGGGAUCGAGCAACGGGAGCUCACCCUGUUGCAGGGAUUCGAAAUGCCAACCUUCUGAUCAGCAAGUCCUAGGCUCUGUGGUUUAACCCACAGCGCCACCCGUGUCCCUCUACCUGGGAUACUUCCAGUUUAAUCCUAAGCGUUCCAUAUUGGCAGCAUUCGAAGUUGCUCUCCGAUGAAUACCAAAUCUGAAUGUUUUAUUUUCUCUGCAGACAUGAAUGACUGUGUCGAGUGCCCAGAUGAUUGUUAUCCAAACAAGGACCAAUCACAAUGCAUUCCAAAGACAAUAAGCUUCUUGUCUCUUAAAGAACCUCUGGGGAUAAGCUUGGCAGUUUUUGUUCUUUUCUUGUCUCUGCUAACAAUAUUGGUCAUAGCUAUUUUUAUUAAGCACCAGGACACACCCAUUGUCAGAGCAAACAAUCGGGACCUCACCUACAGUCUCCUCACUUUUCUUCUGCUUUGCUUUCUCUGCCCGUUGAUCUUCCUCAGCCCUCCA